UUUAUCGCCAAAGGAUUAGCCCGCGUUGGAUUAGAUAGUUGGUGGGGUAAUGGCCUACCAAGUCUACGAUCCAUAGCUGGUCUGAGAGGAUGAUCAGCCACACUGGGACUGAGACACGGCCCAGACUCCUACGGGAGGCACGCACGUGGGGAAUAUUGCGCAAUGGGGGCAACCCCUGACGCCAGCCAUGCCGCGUGUGUGAAGAAGGCCUUCGGGUUGUAAAGCACUUCAAUUGGGAGAAAAGCUGGUUGUUAAUAGCGGCCAGCCCUGACAUUACCUUUAGAAGAAGCACCGGCUAACUCCGUG
rnacentral:rRNA from 1 species